rfam:Dipodomys ordii contig_70032, whole genome shotgun sequence.
GGUGGCUCAGUGGUAGAGCAUUUGCCUUGCAUGCAUGAGGCCCUGGGUUCGAUUCCUCAGUACCA